GUGAGAAAGCACUUGGCACAGGAUGUAUAGCUCUUCUGACAAGCAUACUGGUACUUACAUUUCUCAUGCUACCCACCCAUUGCUCAGUGUUCAGCUUUCAUCCUGCCCAGCUCUGUGAUUAUCACUCCUUCACAGCCCGUUCCUGUGUUCAGUGACCCCACUGGACUUGGAAGAAAAGUGGAAGGAAUGUACACAGUGGAACUCUAAAAAGGAGGUUGCUGGCUGGAGUUUGUUUCAUUCUACAGUUGGAAGAGGCUUUCCCACUCAGUAUCUUCUUUUAUGCCAUUUCUUGGAUUUGCAGUCUUUUAUUUGAAUAAAUCAAUGGAGUGACUCCUUCUACAAGGAUGAGAUUAAUAGGCAGUGAUUCCUUAUCAGUAUGAAGCUGGAUAUUUCAAUUUUUCCUCCAGAGCACAGUAAGCAGAGCAUGUAUGCUCUGAUCAGCAGCACGAACCACAAAGAGUGCCCAGCAGAUGCCCAAAUACCAUGUUUUUCAUCUAAUUUCGAUAUCCUUGACUCAUGCAUCCUGUCUAAGCUAAUGUUAGUUUCCUGACUGUAGUGUGUCUGCAGCACUGGACUGUCAACAAGUGCUUGAGCCAUCCCAGAAGGAUCACUACGCCUCGAUUUUGCUGUGCUUUUAAUGACUCUCUCAAAGAUGCCUCAUUACACCAAUUUAAUUCUGGAAUCUCUAGAAUUACACUGGAAUAGUAGAGCACUUUCCCCCUCCAAUUUAAAAAAAAUAAUUUUGGUGUGACAGUCUAAAACAUUCAGCUUUGCCUUGAUGUCUUAGAAAAACUAAGCUACUACCACAAGCAGUUGCGUUAAUUAUUCUACAUUACACAAUCACAUCCACCCCCUUGAAUGAAACAGCCCUAAACAGGAAGAUCUGAAUUGGAAUAGACCCACUGCUGUUUGUAAGUCUCCAUUUCCCCAAUAACUUGAACUUCUGUUGUAUGUCAACUUAAAGUAGGAGGCAUUGCUUUUGAAGCAGACCUAGUAUGUGCACCUAAUGCUAUAUUCAUGCUCAAAAGUUUCUAGAAAAGACCUUUGGUCCUAUGGACUUCUGCACAGCCAUCAGCUUUAAAAAUAUCAGUGCAGGUACAUUGUUUGGGCAGUGAGAUACCAGAAGUCUAUGGGGUCCCAACUCAGAUUUAUUUCCUUAAGUAGCAGGUUAUUCAACUAAGCAAUUAUUAGCUGAAUAAUAAAGGGAUGGAAGACAGCA
rnacentral:lncRNA from 1 species